AGUGAACGCUGGCGGCAGGCCUAAUACAUGCAAGUCGAACGGCAGCACAGCAGAGCUUGCUCUGUGGGUGGCGAGUGGCGGACGGGUGAGGAAUACAUGGGAAUCUGCCCAGUCGUGGGGAUAACGUAGGGAAACUUACGCUAAUACCGCAUGCGCCCUUCGGGGGAAAGCCGGGGACCUUCGGGCCUGGCGCGAUUGGAUGAGCCCAUGUCGGAUUAGCUAGUUGGCGGGGUAAUGGCCCACCAAGGCGACGAUCCGUAGCUGGUCUGAGAGGAUGAUCAGCCACACUGGAACUGAGACACGGUCCAGACUCCUACGGGAGGCAGCAGUAGGGAAUAUUGGACAAUGGGCGCAAGCCUGAUCCAGCCAUGCCGCGUGAGUGAAGAAGGCCCUCGGGUUGUAAAGCUCUUUGUCCAGAAGAAAAGCGACCGGGUUAAUACCCUAGGUGUCCUGACGGUACCGGAAGAAUAAGCACCGGCUAACUCGUGCCAGCAGCCGCGGUAA
rnacentral:rRNA from 1 species